rnacentral:rRNA from 1 species
UCUGGCUCAGGAUGAACGCUGGCGGCGUGCCUAACACAUGCAAGUCGAACGGAGAUUAACGCUGAUGAGGCUUCGGCGGAAUCUUGUUAAAUCUUAGUGGCGGACGGGUGAGUAACGCGUGGGCAACCUGCCUCGUACUGGGGGAUAACAGUUGGAAACGACUGUUAAUACCGCAUAAGCGCACAGUACCGCAUGGUACAGUGUGAAAAACUCCGGUGGUACGAGAUGGGCCCGCGUCAGAUUAGCCAGUUGGUGGGGUAACGGCCUACCAAAGCAACGAUCUGUAGCCGGACUGAGAGGUCGGACGGCCACAUUGGGACUGAGACACGGCCCAAACUCCUACGGGAGGCAGCAGUGGGGGAUAUUGCACAAUGGGCGAAAGCCUGAUGCAGCGACGCCGCCGUGAGUGAAGAAGUAUUUCGGUAUGUAAAGCUCUAUCAGCAGGGAAGAAAGACUCGUAAGAGAGAUGACGGUACCUGACUAAGAAGCCCCGGCUAACUACGUGCCAGCCGCCGC